rnacentral:rRNA from 1 species
UACAGAGGUCUCAAGCGUUGUUCGGAUUCAUUGGGCGUAAAGGGUGUGUAGGUGGCGCGCUAAGUCAGGUGUGAAAUCUCGGGGCUUAACUCCGAAACUGCAUUUGAUACUGGCGUGCUUGAGGACUGGAGAGGAGACUGGAAUUCAUGGUGUAGCAGUGAAAUGCGUAGAGAUCAUGAGGAAGACCAGUGGCGAAGGCGGGUCUCUGGACAGUUCCUGACACUGAGACACGAAGGCCAGGGGAGCAAACGGG